CUUCUGUUUUCAAUUAAAGUUUUAAUUUGCAGAGAAGAUGUGUGAUCACAUCAGAGACAGAGCAAGUUGUCAAUGUGUGGGCACGGCUGGCUCAAGAGCUGCAGUCAUCUCCGCGAUGGAUUUUAUGACAAAGCAUUGUUUUACUGGGGAAAAUCUUAAUGCAGAUACGUUUGGCAUUUCUAACCUAAAUAUGCAAAUCUAAGUAUUAUAGGAAUGGUGGAUUAUUUGGGGCAUCGGUGUUGUAACAGUUGACUAGAUUUGCUUGGAAGAAAUAGGGUCAGAUUAGUGAAACUGGCCAUCUGGCUUGUGAUUGCUUUUUAGUGGCAUUUUUGUUUCCAGUCUGGAUAAACAAUGAGUUACGGGGCCACAUGGUCCGUGGUAGGAAGCAUGUGUAAAAGAGGGACAUUCUUUGUGGCUGGUUUUCCCUGGAGUAGUUAUGCAUACAGAUACAGUGCUGUGCUUGCUUCUGGCAAAUGAAGUCAUUUUUUACUCGGAUCUAUUUUAUUUAAACUUCAGGGGUAUGUAAACAAAUAUAUUUUAAAGCUAUGUAAAUACAUCAGAGCUUUGGUUUCAUUUUCCUCCUCUCGUUGGCUUAGGUUUAUCUUCUGUUCAAGGUUAUUCUUCCUUAUGGAAGGAAAUAUUUCUAGAGGAGGACAAACUUCUUGUUAAAUGCUAAUUAAGAAAAUGAAGGUUACAUUGGCAUGCUUCCAUUGUCAUAGCACUGACCUAAGAUAAAGGAUCUCUUAUUAAUCUGAAAUAAAUUAGUCAGAGGGGGAAGCAAGUGAUUCCGUGCAUGUAAAACACUCAAAGUGUCUAUUCCUGCUCUGUUUUUAAAUGCCCGUACUUCUGUUUUGUUGCUGUUACUUGCUAGUUUGUUUUUGUUUUUCCACCGGUGUAUUGGCUGUGCCAUCGAAUUUUGGAGUGUGCUGCUGCUGUCAUUCAUUGUGCCAUAGGGUCAAUGUGCUGUUAGAAAAGGUGUAGAGUUUCUUUUUUUUUCCUUUUUUCUUUUUUUUUUUUUUUGACAAUUUAAACAGAGAUUUCGCCCACUUAUCACUAAAGAUCCCAUGGUAAUUUCCACAAGGUUCUGAGAUUGCUUCACAUUCUGAGAGUCUUGGCCAAAGUCCACUUUGUGUAAUUACCUUCUGUCUACAUAAAUCCCUAAUGCAAUUUUAGAUGUGUUUGGUAUUUUUCACUUCCUGUCCUAAAUAGAGAAAAUAUUGCCACACGCUGCUCAUAAUUACUGUGGGUUGCAUCCUAAGAUCAAAUAAAGAGAUUCCUGUAAA